AUUGAACGCUGGCGGCAUGCUUUACACAUGCAAGUCGAACGGUAACAGGCCGCAAGGUGCUGACGAGUGGCGAACGGGUGAGUAAUGCAUCGGAACGUGCCCAGUCGUGGGGGAUAACUACUCGAAAGAGUAGCUAAUACCGCAUACGAUCUAUGGAUGAAAGCGGGGGACCGUAAGGCCUCGCGCGAUUGGAGCGGCCGAUGUCGGAUUAGGUAGUUGGUGGGGUAAAGGCUGACCAAGCCAACGAUCUGUAGCUGGUCUGAGAGGACAACCAGCCACACUGGGACUGAGACACGGCCCAGACUCCUACGGGAGGCAGCAGUGGGGAAUUUUGGACAAUGGGCGCAAGCCUGAUCCAGCAAUGCCGCGUGCAGGAAGAAGGCCUUCGGGUUGUAAACUGCCUUUGUACGGAACGAAACGGCUCUGGUUAAUACCCGGGGCUAAUGACGGUACCGUAAGAAUAAGCACCGGCUAACUACGUG
rnacentral:rRNA from 1 species